rnacentral:rRNA from 1 species
GACGAACGCUGGCGGCGUGCCUAAUACAUGCAAGUAGAACGCUGAAGGAGGAGCUUGCUUCUCUGGAUGAGUUGCGAACGGGUGAGUAACGCGUAGGUAACCUGCCUGGUAGCGGGGGAUAACUAUUGGAAACGAUAGCUAAUACCGCAUAACAGUAGAUAUCGCAUGAUAUCUACUUGAAAGGUGCAAUUGCAUCACUACCAGAUGGACCUGCGUUGUAUUAGCUAGUUGGUGAGGUAACGGCUCACCAAGGCGACGAUACAUAGCCGACCUGAGAGGGGGGGCGGGCAAAAUGGGGAUGGGUAAAGGACAGGACUCCUACGGGGGGGAGCAGUAGGGGAUAUUCGGAAAUGGGUGGAAGUCUGAAAGGGCAAGGGGGCGGGAGUGAAGGAGGUUUUGGGAUCGUAAAGCUCUGUUGUAAGGGAAGAACGAGUGGGAGAGUGGAAAGUUCACACUGUGACGUUAUCUUACCAGAAAGGGACGGCUAACUACGUG